GAGUUUGAUCCUGGCUCAGAUUGAACGCUGGCGGCAGGCCUAACACAUGCAAGUCGAGCGGUAACAGGAGAGCUUGCUCUCGCUGACGAGCGGCGGACGGGUGAGUAACGCGUAGGAAUCUACCCAGUAGCGGGGGAUAGCCCGGGGAAACUCGGAUUAAUACCGCAUACGCCCCACGGGGGAAAGCAGGGGAUCUUCGGACCUUGCACUAUUGGAAGAGCCUGCGUUGGAUUAGCUAGUUGGUAGGGUAAAGGCCUACCAAGGCGACGAUCCGUAGCUGGUUUGAGAGGAUGAUCAGCCACACUGGGACUGAGACACGGCCCAGACUCCUACGGGAGGCAGCAGUGGGGAAUAUUGGACAAUGGGCGAAGGCCUGAUCCAGCAAUGCCGCGUGUGUGAAGAAGGCCUGCGGGUUGUAAAGCACUUUUAUCGGGAAAGAAAAGCUUGGGGCUAAUACCUCCAAGCCUUGACGGUACCCGUUGAAUAAGCACCGGCUAACUCCGUGCCAGCAGCCGCGGUAAU
rnacentral:rRNA from 1 species